rnacentral:lncRNA from 12 species
UGGAACUGACACCAGAUUUCUAGAAACUGGGGGGGGGGGUGUCUCUGGAUAGUUGAUGGUGUUGGCCCACCUCUGUGGGCAAAUGCUGCAGCCCCGGGGUUGGGUAGUACAGCAGGGACAGUAGAGGCAGCCCCAAGUUUGAGCUGUGCCUCUACCACUUUCUAGCCGUGGGACUUUGGGUAAGUGAGCAACCGCUGAGACUUAGAGCCCCGGUUCUUCAUCAGAAAUGGGUGUAAUAAUUCCUAUAUCAUCAGGUCGUGGCGAGAACUAAAUGAAGUGCCGCAUUCAGUGCCCUGGGCUCCCACUCCACACCCCUGCCUCCUGGUCAGGGCCGGGUAUUCACCUCCACAGCCGGGCAGGGGGCAGAGGUGUGAGCAGAGGGGAAAGUCCACGGAGCGGGAGGUCUUGGCUGCACAGGGAGAGCUACCUGUUCUCAGGUGAUGCCGACGCUGCUGGCGAGAGGGGUCUUGCCAGAAUUCAGGCUCCCUUUCCUGUUACUGCUGCUCAGGUGAAUGGGAAGGUGAGGCCAACUCCAAGAUGCCACUGCACAUGCUUCCGAGUCACCUGGGAGCCUCAGAGGCCAGCAUCCACAGGUGCUCACGGAGCUGGCCUGGGUCCUCCAGUGGAACAUGUGUUCUGAGCCUUCUGAGAGCUCCCCGGCCGCAGAGCGCACUGGGGUUGCAAAUUCAACUUCCUGAGGGCCUCGCUCACUCCUUCCCACCAAAAAAAAGGUUAGUGAUAAGGGAGGGUGGGGGGAUAGAGAAAAAAGCAGGAAUUAAAUUGGGUGGAAUGGUCUAGAAGAGCCGUUUAGCAUGAUGAUAAGUUGAAAGGAAAGGCGGGACAGUCAGGCUCCUGAAACCCAGAAAUGACGCUGGGCUUGGGGAAGGAAGGAUGAUUCACGUCUGCAGGGGGCCAGCUGGACGCAGAGCGGGUACAGGCGGCCCUGCUGAUUUAAAGGUGCUUCUGGGGCACAUCUCACUGCCAGGGAGGGAGGCUGAUGGUGGGUGAAUGUGGCCGCCCAGACUUCCUGAGGGUCAGGAGCAGGGGUGAGGUGAGGGAGGGCCAGGAGGGCCGCCGGCUUCACCAGCAGGACCUGACUCACCCACAUGCAAAGCCUGGCUCACGAGAAGCACCCUAAUGCCCCGCACCUGCCAUCUCCUUUCUGGGCACCCCUGUACUGUUCUUCAAUCUCUUGAGAAAGCCAGGCCCGAGGCCAAACCCCCCUCCAGGGACAGUGUCCAGGGGCUCAGGACCUGCUGCCUGCACACCAACCCCACUUCCCAUCCUGCAAUUAGUGGCGUCCAGGCCCUCUGGGGGUGCCGUGGCUAUGGUGAUCCAUUUUCUUCACCCCCACGAAAUGACACAUGGCCUGCAACAGGAAGGGAUGAACUCGUGGGGGCACAAGAAAGAAUUACUGGAAUAGGGGCUGACUUUGAAUUUAUGGUGUGUGUGCUCACAAUGUGACCCUAGUGCUGCAGCUUUUACAGCACUCCACCAUUUGCAUUACAGUAUUUUGUGCUUCCCACAACCCCAAGAGGAAGGCAGAGAGGUUAUUAGAUCCAAUUUAAAAAUGACAAAUAUGGGGCACCUCAGUGGUUGAGUGUCUACCUUCGGCUCAGGCUGUGAUCCUGGGGUCCUGGGAUGGAGUCCCAAGAGGAGCCUGCUUCUCCCUCUGCCUAUGUGUCUGCCUCUCUCUGUAUGUCUCUCAUGAAUAAAUAAAUAAAAUCUUUUUUAAAAAUGACA